rnacentral:lncRNA from 1 species
CUUGCAUUAUGAGCAGAGCGUAAGCUGCUGCUCACAAGAUUAGUAGAGCACACACUGCCCCUCACAUUACGAGCAGAGCAUAAGCUGCCGCUCACAAGAUGAGCAGAGCACAUGCUGCCUCUCAUGUUAUGAGCAAAGCACAAACCACCACUUACAAGAUGAGCAGAGCACAUACUGCCUCUGACGUUACGAGCAGAACACAAGCUACCACUCA